rnacentral:lncRNA from 1 species
AAGACUACAUAAGAUUUGAGCAAUGUGUGAGUCUAAAUCAUAGGUUCCCCAGCUGGGUGGAUGCCCCUUUCUGCUCUUGGCUUCAACAGAGAGGGUGAAAAAUCUUUGGGGGAAGGGAUGGGUGACUGAUGGUAGGACAUUAAUUGCUUUCCACUGGUUGGUUGAUUUGGCUGUAAAGAGAAAGGCCUGCCCUCACCCCAAAGAGCUUACAUCUGUUUCUCAUACAGCUCAGCCACCCAUGCUGCUUCAGCCAUCCCCUACUGGUGGCCAGGCUACCACUUUAUUGAUUUUUCCCCCUGCCCUUUUAAAAAGAUGAAAGUUCCUAAAAGCUUUUUGCAUGCACGUAUGUGUGUUUGUCCGCAUGUCCAUGUGUAUGUUGGUGACAGCAGUGCUUUAGGUUGACAGUUAAAGCAGCAGCUAGGUGAACUAUCCUGUGUGUGUGAGUGUGUGUGUGUGUGUGUGUGUGUGUGUGUGUGUGUGUGUGUGUGUGUUUGUCUGUCUUUCUAACUAAUUACUCUAAGACUGUGCACCCCCAGUGGCAGAGCUGGCAGAAGCAUACCAAUUAGAAUGUGAUGACAACAAUUACUAAAGAUAAUUAGUUGACAAUGACUUGAGACCUCAUUAACCCCUUUAACACCUCGUGGUUUAUGAUUAAGAUGAAAUACUUGGAGACUGUUUAAAGGACAUCUUGUCACUACCAGGAUUUGUUUAGGUAUAGCUAGAAUAUUUGCUAUGUCUUUGAUAUGUCUUCCAUUCUUUUGUAACCACCACCAAUGAUUACCCAAAAUGGUACUCAUUAUUCUGUGGACAUCAAUGGAUUAAGGAUUUGUACUCAGAACCCUGUUCUUUUGCUUCUUUACCCAGCACUCUUCUACUCUCAUCCAGCCUUUUUAACCAAGUGAUGGUCAAAAUUUUUUUAAGGUCAGCCCCUUUGCUUUUAUAAAUUACAUGGAUUGAUAAAGCAAAUGGGGAUUUUUAUGGAAAUCACUCCAAUUGGGAGUUUAAUGACUGGAGAAUUCCACCAUGAGAAUUCAGUGUUCACAGGCUUGGACAAACCCGAGAUAUUCCACAAAUUUGCUAGCCCCUGGCUCUGAUAAACAUAUCAUAGUUUUCAUUUUUUUCUGAUGAGUCCUCAGUAAAUAUUUAAUGGAAGAAUUGAUGCUGAGAUUCCAGCACCAUCCAAAAUUUGUUCAGUUUAACACUGCUUCUAAACUAGACAUCAUUUAAACCACUAAAAGCAAAACAUACUGGCUCUAUCCUUUGUUACUAAAUAUUUCUUGGGAAAGAAGUUUUAAUGCUCUCGGGACAAUUUGAUUAUAAUACACAUUAAACUGCAAAUAUCAGACAUUUGAGUAUGUGGGAAGGUUUGAAAUAAACUUUGAUUACAAAAUGUCAAUCAUCUAUAAAGUUAUAAUCUCAAUAUCAGUUGUACUAUUUAGACACACAAUCAGUUGUACUGUUUAGACAUUCUACCUAUUUAUUUGAUGUGGAAGUUUCAUAUUUAUGAAGCCAAUACUACUGAGUUUGUCCAUUUUCAGAACAGUAGUCCUUACCUUUUUGGGGGUCACAGACCCAUUCAGGAAUGCAGUGAAAUCUAUGAAACCUCCAAUCUAUAAAAAGGCUCUAGUCACUUACACACCAAAUAGUUUGGAUUUCCUGGGAUUUGUGGAUUCUACAUUAAUAUUCUCUUGUCAUCAGUAAGCUGGGGGUGAUUUUAAUCUUCCAGACAUGUUGGUGAUGAUUAAUCCAUAAUAUGCAUGAAGGGAAGAUGGACCAUUUGCAAAUCCUAUUCAAACUGGAACUAAAAAAUCCAAAUCAGAAAAAAAAAUAGAUUCCUUGUUAUAAAAUAAGGGUCAAAGGUAAGUACAGUGGAUAUUUACUGAAAAGAUUGAUUGACAAGAAGUUCUGGGCAAGGACUUCUCACAACAUAAUCUAUCUGACUCCUCCAACAAAACUGGGAGAGAUGCUGGUUUAAAAUGCAUAUUCCUAGGGAGUUCUCUGUUGCCCUAGCGAUUAAGGAUCCAGCAUUGUCCCUGUUGUGGCUCAGGUCACUGCUCUAUCUCAGGGUUGGCCCCUGACCAGGGAACUGCUGCAUGCCUUGGGUGCAGCCAAAAAAACAAAAACGGAAUAAAACAAAAUGCACAUUCCUAUGCCCCCCCAUUUUGCCCACAAAAAUGGCAUCUCCUGUGAUGCCAUCUACAGCUCAGCUGAAAUCUCCAGGUUAUUCUUCUACACAGUUAAGACCAUCUCUUCUGUGCUCAUUCUUCACACUUCUCUUCCAUCUCUCACAAAGCACUUUAUUUAUAUUAGGAUUGUUAGUCAGUCACUGUGGAUGAAGAUCUUACAUAAACAGCCAGAAAACACUUUUGAUAACUCCAAUUUGGAUAGUGGAUGUCAUCAGGGAGAGAGCUCUUAAAGGCAGCUGCAAGCAAUUGUCACUCGGCUGCACUUACCAUCAGCGUCAGGCCACUUUAGACUGGCCCAUCACACUGUUUCAUUUUUUUGGUACUUAGUCAUUUGUUACAAUAAAAAUUAAGUUACAGGGAAGGAACACUGUGACAGGAUAAUGGACUCCUGCUCAGAAGAAACCGGCCUGCCUUCAAUUCAUCACAGCGUUUAUAGUGCAUUAGAAGACAUUACAGUGACAACACCGUUCCUUGGGGGCAGGAAGAAAACCCAGAUUGAGUGGAAAAGAGGGAAUUUACUUUGUGAACUAGGCAAAAGUGAAUAAAAGUUGAAUCCUGGGGUGGUUUAAAUUGCCAUGUUCAGCAAAGGAUAAGGGAAAAGCUAACAGUCUCAGAGGCUAACAUUCCAAUGCAGUAAAAAAAAUUAGCUUAGUUCACCUUGCAUCACAGGAGUAGUUUGUGAGUUAAAACGAAAUGGUUGCCUGAGGAAUAACAGAGAAGCAUGGAGAAAAUGGGCAAAGUUAAGGCAAUUUGAAAUGACUAAAGCCCACAAAAUAUUUUGCAAAUAAAAAAUCCUGGAGAGAAGCUUAAUAAUAAUAUUUGUCCAGAGGACUGGGCCAAAGAUAUCUAUAUUGUCUAGGUAUUUUAAUUGGAGGCCUGAAGCAUCAUUAUAAAAUUGUAAGAAAUCUAGGUCUGUGUUCUCAUAAAAGUAAAAAUGGUUGUUUGAUGUUAGAAAGCAGUGUUUUGAAAUGUAGAAGCUAUAGGAAGAGCACUGGGUAGGCAGGUCUGGCAAUUUAUUUCUGGGAACUUAAUAACUUUAUAGUAUUUUUACUAUUAUACUCACACUCUGUUAAUUCUGGGAAAAAAAAUGAUCGGUACCAGGCAACUUGGUAUAAUGGAGAAAAUAUCUUAAUUCUGCAAUUUUUUAAAGGUAAUCUUUUCCUAAACUAUACUUUUCUUAAAGUGACAUUUUUUUUUCAGAGAUCUGAGAUCUUUUUUUGGGUGUGUGAAAAAUUCAAGUUUUCUCAUUGAUAAAAUCUUUAAUUCACUUAAGAAUCAAUUU